rnacentral:rRNA from 1 species
AUGGAAUCUUCAAUUGGUGACUGUAGAAAUACUGGACAUGUUGAGGCAGAAAAUGUUGCUAAUCCAGGUAUGUUGCUGGAAGGAGCAGAUUCUCUUGUUAGGGGAUUUAAUGCAAACACCGAUGACACUGUUGAUACAGAUCAAGUCCACUUGGAGUCACCAGUUAGUCCAGCUACCUUACCAGUGUCUACUGAAUUUGAAACUCAGACUUGCCAAUCAAGUAUGCAUGUGGAACAAAGUCCUGAAGCGCAACAGUCAACCUCAAUGAAAGAUCAACCUGCAGAAAAACGAGCAUGUAUUGUGGGUCCUGAGGCAGCAAUGCAGGAUCAGUCAGCAGAGGCUGAGCGAGCAGGAGUAGAGUUAUCUGGCACUGUGACACCUCAUGCUAUACAACCACCAGCCUCAAUGCCUGUGGAACAGAGUACCAGUCUGCCUGCCCAACAAAGCUUAGCAACAUUGCGUCAUCCACCAGCAGAAGCAGAACCAGCAGGUAUUCUGGCCACAGAGGUAGCUUGCGAUUUGCAGCCUGAAGCCCGACUGUCAACCUCAAUGCAGGAUCAACCUGCAGAAGAAGGAGCAUGUAUCUUGGGCGCCACUGCUGCUCGAGGUUCGCAGCCUGAAGUGCAACCAUCAACCUCAUUGGAUUCACAUGGCAGAGGAGAAUCAACAGAUACGUUGGGUGUGGUGACAGCUCCUGAUAUGCAAUCAGAAAUACAACCAUCAGCCUUGAUGCAGGAUCAACCUGUGGCAGCAGAAGGAGCAUGUGUUCUAGGCACGACAGUAGCCCAGGAUUUGCAGCCUGAACUGCAAACAGCAACCACAGUUCAGCAUGACCCACUUGAAAGAACACGCUCUGAAGAAAGGAGACAAGCUGGUUUUGAACCAAACACAGCAGCCAGUCCUGAGCAUGAUCUGCAGUCUGAAAUACAGCCAUCAGCCUUAAUGCGUGAUCGACCUGCAGGAGCAGAAGGAGCAGGGAGAUUGAUGAACCCUGUAAUGGAGCAGCUACCCGAGUCUUCUUCAGCGGCUCGGAUCGCAGCAUCGCCGUCGGUUAUCCCAUCACCAUCCCCCGGAGUGGCAGCGCACAGUUCAGCAGAACCCUCCGUCCGCCCUCCGCCGGUGGCUCUACCAUCCUCAUCACGGACCGUCCAGUCACAGUCAGCCAUGCCUGGCAAUCUCUCUGGAGCAAUAUCAUCGUCAGCCAUGCCUGGCAAUCUCUCUGGAGCAACAUCAUCGUCAGCCAUGCCUGGCAAUCUCUCUGGAGCAAUAUCACCGCCUUUUGUUCCAGCGCCUUCGCUACAUGCAAGCCACGGACCCGCCGGACCACAGCUGCGCCCUGUCCAGCCACAAUCAGUUCCACCCAGCAUUCUCUACAGAACAAUGCCACCUGCUAUUCCGACACCUCGGCCACAGGGCAGCUACGGGCCCGCUGGAGCAGCAGCACAGCAGCUGCGUGCGCCCUCUCCUCAUCUGCAGCACCUCAGGAUGCGCCCGCCAUAUGUCAUCCCCACAGACCACCACCAGCAGCAGCAGCUUCCUACCAUCAUAGGGGUUCCAGCGGGUGGGCAGUUUGCCACGGAGAGCCUAAGGCCGACGUUUCCGUUUCCGCAGCCAGGCGCCGUGCUAGCCUCCAUGACUCCAGCAGGCUCGGCUCACCAACCAGUGCUGCCGUCAGCGUCAGGCUCAAGCCCAGCUACCCCGUCGUACCUUUUGCCACCUGGCCGGCAUCUGGACCCUGUCUGGACGCCGAACCCCGCUCUCACGUAUGCCCAGGUCCAGCAGCAGGCAUCGUAUCUGAACAUGGCCUUGGGCGGCAGCAGCAGCAGCACCUCAGCAGGUCCGGCGGCGCCAGGAAGCCAGCAGCACGCCGGCGGCGCUCAGCUACCUGUCGUCCUCAACCAUCCAGGCCUGGAACCGUCACCGCCGCCGAACAGCAACCCGUACAUGCCGGCCAGGUUCGGCGUGGAGCCUGACAGCAGCAGUGGCGGCCCCAGCAACGCAGCAGGGCCGAGCGCGGAGGUCGUGUGCCUGUCCGACGACGAAGCCUAG